CCUACGGGAGGCAGCAGUGAGGAAUAUUGGUCAAUGGGCGAGAGCCUGAACCAGCCAAGUCGCGUGAAGGAUGACGGCCCUACGGGUUGUAAACUUCUUUUGUCAGGGAGUAAUUGAGUCCACGUGUGGUCUUAGCGAGAGUACCUGAAGAAAAAGCAUCGGCUAACUCCGUGCCAGCAGCCGCGGUAAUACGUAGGGGGCAAGCGUUAUCCGGAUUUAUUGGGUGUAAAGGGAGCGUAGACGGCAGCACAAGUCUGGAGUGAAAUCCCGGGGCUUAACCCCGGAACUGCAUUGGAAACUGUGCGGCUGGAGUGCAGGAGGGGUAAGCGGAAUUCGUAGUGUAGCGGUGAAAUGCGUAGAUAUUAGGAGGAACACCGGUGGCGAAGGCGGCUUACUGGACUGUAACUGACGUUGAGGCUCGAAAGCGUGGGGAGCAAACAGGAUUAGAUACCCCUGUAGUC
rnacentral:rRNA from 1 species